rnacentral:lncRNA from 1 species
UAUCUGUAGAGAUUUGGAUCACAACUUAUUGACAGAAAUUAAAAAUCGAACGUUCGUAGGAAUGACAGGAAACCUUCGUACUUUGUGAGUAUAAUUAAUCCUGUUUUGGUUCCCGAUUCUUCUAAUAUAAAUUAAUUGGCGAUACGACAUUUAUCUACCAUAAAUGUAGUAGGCAGGGUAAGUUAUUAAAUAUCAAAGGAGUUAUAAUAGGCAAGUUGAAUAGUCAACCGAUCAUUUAAACUAGGAAUAAUGUGUGGUUUUUUUUUCAGUUAUAUCAAAUAUAAAACAAAAGAUUAGCAUGCAAUGUGUUUCAACAUAUUUAAAAUUGUUUUAGAAUAACAUCAUGAUCUUGAGUCAUACAGAAUAUUUGUUGACGUUGUGUAGGAUUUUAUCAUCUUUUCAGUUUUCUCUUCAUCUGCAAGAGAAAAAUGAAGUUGACUAUUGUUUCUGGUUUCAAUUUGCCUCACUUAUUAUUUUUUUUAUUCAAUUUGACUGGGUUUUUUUAAUGAAUUGCUUUUAUUUAGAUGUGGAAUGAGUGCCAAGAGACAACUAUCCGUAGACCUCUUUACAUAGAAACAAAAUAUAGUACAUGUGCAUGCUUAGCGGAAUUUUCUAGUUCGAAUAAUUAUUUCAAAAGCUUAUAAAACAGGAAUAUAAAAAUAAAAUAUAAACUCCUUGUGGAUUCUAUUGAAUAUUGUAUGAGUCAUUAAAUAAUUUGAAAUAAAAAAAAAAGGGAAAUGAAAAUAUGUGAAGUAAUUCGAAAGGGACAGCAGUUCAUUCAACAUCGUAAGCAAAUCGAUAUACAGACUACUUCAACUUUGUACUUGUUUGACUUUAUAAAUAUUUUGAUAUGAGCGUUACUGAUGAGUCUUAUGUAGACGAAACGCGCGUCUGGCGUACUAAAUUUUAAUCCUGGUACCUUUGAUAACUAUUAUAAGAGGUUAAAGCAAGGUAGGUAACUCGCUCUGAAUAUCCUGGAAUUUAAAACUGUUGUAAAUAAUGUAUAUUUUAUUAGUUUAUAAACAAACACGUCUAUUCAAUGUCUCAUCAAUUUUAUGGCCGUCAACCCUCUGCCUUGAAUCAAAAUGUCUUUAAACGGAACGACCUGAAAUUUGCAGACAAAGAAUUAAGCUCAAUAAAUCACAAGAGGUUUAUUAGCUUAUUUUUUUAUAAACUAUAAAAUAUCAAAAAGGCUUUCUUAAAAAGAUAACAAGUUUAAUUGUUUUCUUGAUCAAACUAAUUUUAUUUCGUAAUUUUUGACUUUCUUUUUGUAGAUCACUCAGAUACAACGAACUAUCACACAUAGAAGAUGGGGCGUUUCUUAGAAUUUCAGGACUUUAUAAUCUGUACGUGAGUUUUAAAUAAAAAUCCAACACACGAUUGUUUUUGUCUCGGUUGACGGAGUAAAAAAAACGAGACAUAGGUAUGCUGUUUCCGGCGGCGGCUGCGUCAACAAUGUAUUAAUUUGUGAUUUGGUUUAGUUUAUGGUGAACUAUUAGUGGUAAGUCAAAGAUAUUUGAUUUGCAGUUGUAUUAGUAGUGACACAUCUCAUUACCAUGGAGACUAUUUUGGCCCACCCCCUCAGUUAUGGCCUAUUGACUUUGUAACGUUUGCUUAGUUUUCAUGUAUUAGUUUCUGAUUACUAAGCUGUUCUGUGUAAACAAUCACAACCUGUUUGAUGAUACGUUCAGAUUUUAUAAUAGCCACUUUCCGUUUUGAAUUUACCAUUUUUUGUUGUUUUACUGAGUAUUUUAAUUUGAAUCCCAAUGCAUUACCUUUUCUUAAAACGUCUAGAAAUAAAAGGUAGCUACAUGUCAUCACAUUAAGUGCAAUGUUCGUUUCAAAUAAUCAGUAAAUACGUUAAAUUAUAUUGCACAUUUAGAAUUUCUAUGAAAACGCAUUCUAAUAUGAGGUGCCUCAUUUGCUUUGUAAACAACACCGUUAUAGAAAUUUCGAUGUAUCUACACUUGGCGUAGACUCCAAAAUGUACAUUAUAAUGGCUGUUGAAUAUAACUCCAACCUAAAUCCACAUGUAUUGUAACCUAUUUUCAAACGCUAUGUCUAUUUCAUUGUGUUAAAAAUUACAAUUGAAAAAAACCUACUGCAACUUUAUUCUUAUUUUUAGGCAUAACAAAUAGAAUCAUUUCAUUGGAAAUCGUAAAAAUGUACUAAAUCAAAAUUAUUUGAAGUUUCAUCAAUGCCUUUGCGCAUUCACGUCAUUUUGAAACAUGACGUCAUACGAAAAAAAACGCCACAUUUCCAUUGCGUGUAACUUUUAAACCCGGAUAAAAAGUAAGAUCACAAAAAUAUUGAACUUCGAGGACAAUUCAAAACGGAAAGUCCCUCAUCAAAUAGCCAAAUCAAUGAUAGAACACAUCAAACGAAUGGACAACCAUUGUCAUAUUCCUGACAUCCAAAUGUAGAAAAUGGUGGAUUAAUCCUUGUUUAAAAGCGCAAAACUUCUCGUUCGUAUGACAGUCGCAUCAGUAUUGAAACCUGUUCCAUUAUCUUGACAACGAUUAAUGGAAAAUGUCGCAAAUAGGGAUAGCAUAUACAGCAACACGAACCCACUAAAACUGGGGUGAUCUCGGGUGCCCAGAAGGAUAAGCAGAUCCUCGGCAUUCGUCGCGUUGCUAAUAUUAUAACAAAGCCAGUAAAUAGUCUAACUCGGUAGGUCACAAUCGUAAGAACGGAAUGAGACGUAAUUACGACAUAAAAAUCCUAUCCGAUAUUAUUUGUGAAAAGGAUAUUCCACAACGGUCAACCAAUUCUCAAUGGCGUCCGAACAUUUUACAAAUUGAUGAUUUCAACUUCAUUUGGAAAUCUUGGUCUAAAAAUCAUAAUUUAGAAGCCGAAAUCAUCUCUUUUGUCCUAAAGUUCUGUUUUCAAUCUGACCCUCAUAGUCAAUAUCUAGAAAUAAGUCAUUAUCAAAUGGCAAGAAACAAAAGCUCAAAUAUGUAAAAAAGCAUUUAAAUAGAGAUUUCAGGUAGGUGUUGCUUUUUAUUUUAUUUUGCAUUAUUACACAAAAUUUAGUCCUGGUAUCUAUGAUGAGUUUAUUUACUGAUUUCAGCAAAUCAACAUGGCGGCACCUUCGUAACAAAAUGUCAGUAGUGAUUUGACGGUUGCUCACAAGAAUAACAUGUGAAUUAAAUAUGACAAAUGUGGGGUUUUAAGAAUUAAAAUAAUCAAUCGCAUUUUUUCUUACGGUUGUUUAAGAAAUGAUUCAUGCAAGCUACAGGUUUAUAUAUUUUUUACAUUUAUCGAACAGUGAGUAAAAUAGAAUAGCCACACGCUAGUAAUUCCAACAUUUUAACGACAUCAUUGGUCCUAUUAGAAUCGAAAUAGUUCAUGGAAGUCAUAAUUUUGAUGUUAAUUUACACAUUGCCUGUGCCGUGGAGUUUGUUAAUUUUAUCCGUCGCGAUCGCCCAGGAUCGCGAUCGCCCAGGAUAAUAUUCGAAUAUGACGGCACAGUCCAAGUGGAAGUUCCACCAAUUCUGUUGCUUCAUUACCUUGAGCUAUUACAAGAGGGGCGAAACAUACCCGAGGGCCAGUCAAACUCAUAGAUCAAAAACUGACAACGCCAUGGCUAAAAAUGAAAUAGGCAAAUAGAUAAAUAGAAGUACACGACACACUACAUAGAUCUAAAGACUAAGCAACGCGAACCCCGACAAAAACUGUCAAAUGUUAUUUUUAUUUGAUGGAUAAAAACACAUUUGUAAAAAAAACCAUCUUGCUGCGCAUGUGGCACUCGUGCUGCUGCCAUAAGUUAAACCCCAGUGAUAGGUCUUAUUCGGUUGGUCCAUUCAGGGAAAGGCACAUGAUUGUAGUUAUAUAAAGUGUUACAUAACUAUCGUCAUAUGUCAAACAGACAUUCAAUAACGGUCAACGAACUCGUGAUGGCGUCUAUAAAGUUUUCGAACGAAAUCUUGCAAAUUUUUCACUUGAAACUCUUUGUUCAAUAUCAUUAUGGUACGCAGAAACCCUACAUAAAGGAAAUCAUGAUAGGUAAUCCAACAUGUUGUUACACGUGUGGCAUAAUUUAGCCCUGGUAUCUAUGGCGACCCACAUACCUUAAAAGACUUCAGUCAAUUGAAUAUUUUUUAUGUCUGGUGAAACAAUAUUGGCUGCAAGAUCCAUGUUUAUGUCACGUUUACAUUGAAAUGGGUUUUUUAUGUUGUUAAUACCCCAGUCCCACUAGGUCACGAUCACACUACGAUCUGUGAAAAAAAGGCAAAUUUUGAUGAUCGUAGUGCGAUCGUGUAGAUCGCAGUAAGGUCGUAUCACGGUCGUGGUGAGGUCUUCAAGAUCGUGAAGAAGAGCGUGGCCAACUUUGAACAUGUUCAAAACAAUCGUGGUGCGGUCGUGGCGAAAUCAGGUCGUAGUAGAAGCGUAGUGAGAGCGCACUAAGAUCGUAGUAAGAUCGCUAAGGUCGCUGUAUAAUCGUAGCGAGAGCGUAGCGAAAGCGUGAUUCUAUUCGGAGAAACUGCGCUACGAUCGCACAGCGACGUUAUCACGACCUCACUACGACCAUCACGUUCUCACUGCGACCCAACUACGCUUCCACUACGACUAUACUACGCUGUUCACGACCAUAGUACGAUUCUAGCACGCUCUUGCCGUCCUCAUCACGCUCGUCUUACGACCUGACUACGUUCACACUACGACCAUCAUUCUCAUUGUCGUUUUCACAUAAAAUAUAUAAAAAAGCUCCCUAGAUUUUGUUAGUUUGAAUGUAAUUAUCCAUUUGCUCUAACGGCUCAGCCAUGCUUCUAUUUUUAUAUAGAUUAGACCGUUGGUUUUCCCGUUUAAAUUGUUUAACAAUAGUAAUAUUUUGGGUCCUUUAUAGCGUGCUGAUUGAUGUGAGCCAAGGCUCCGUGUUGAAGGCCGUACCUUGGCCUAUAAUGGUUUACUUUUAUAAAUUGUUACUUGGAUGGAGAGUUGUCUCAUUGGCACUCAUACCACAUAUUCCUAUAUAUAUUGAUACAUCUAUGUCAUCUCUGCUAUCGUUCACUAAAAUAUCGUCAUUGAGCUUUAUGGACCAGCAAUAGGUUGUAAUUUAGGUUGGAUUGGUCGGUCCGACAUCUCUGCUUGAUCAGGAUUCGUUACUUUGCUCCCUCUGCCUCUACAUCAACUCCUACAUUUUUUUUUUUGUACCACCAUGCCCACGUGUUCUGGUAGAUUUUGGUGGCAUGACUGUAUUGUUUCCGAGAAAUCUACGGUUUAAUCGGAAAUAGAAGGAAUUGAACUGUAAUGAUAUGGAACACGAUGUUGACGUUAUUGCUGAGAACGUAGUAAGAUCGCGCUAUGAACGUAGUAUAAUCGUGGUAAGAACGUGUUAUAAUCGCAGUAAGAUCGUGUUGCAAUCGGAUAACUCGUGGUAUGGUCGUAGUGAGAACGUGAAGAGCGUAGAAAGAUCUUGAUAAGCGUAGUGAGGUCGCAGAAUAAGCGUAGUGAGAACGUGGUAAAAUCGUAGCGGGAUCUUUGUAGAAGCUUAGAGAGGACGUAGUAGCAUCGUGAAAGCAACGAAAAUUUACAUUUUCAUGCCGCUCAUACCGCGACCUCACCACGAUCUAAAAUUAUUUUAGAUCGCGGUGAGCGUGGUGCGAUCGUGGUCUAGUGGGACUGGGGCUUAAGAUCUGAUAACAACGAAAGGUUAAGCUGUAAAAUAAAAACCAUGAUCUUCCGAAAAACAUGCACCAAGUCAGGAAUUUGAUAGUUGGUUUUCGGUUCUUUUGAAUUUGUUUGUUGGUAUAGUAGAUAUGUUUUUUGUCAAUAUAAUCAAUUCAAUGAAAUCUCGUAUCGAGUUUUGUUUAAGGAUGAACUUAGGUGAGGUAAGGUAAAAAAUUAGAAAUUAAGAAAUUAAAUUUGAUACUAUAAGCUGGUAGAUUAAGGAUAAAGAUAAGCUAAAAAUAUUGAUAGGUCAUGGAGCUCCUUUUCGAGAUAUUUGAGAUUUAAAAUAUGGCGGGAAAAGGCUGACUCGGACUUUUACCCUAUAUUUGCAUUGGUAUUAUUUGGGAAUCAAAACAAAAGAAAGAAAAUCAAGAAUCUUCUAAAAUUUUGGUAAAUGACCUUUCAUGAGCUAUUAAGUCUUAUAUGAAAAAAUAAAUGGGUGUUAUGGGGCAAAAUAUUUUACAUUGUAUUGUAUGGAAAAACACCAAGGAUUCCGAACAUUUGACACAAAUUCCAAAACCUCACCUAAGUACAUCCUUAAAUAUUAUUCUAAACAGUGUUAUUAAAAAGAGAACAAUAAAUAACAGCUGGUGAAUUUCAAGACUUAAACGUUAUGUCAUUGUAGUGGUAGACAAACAAUUAAUACGAAGUUGUUACGCUUCAAUUAAUCGUAUACAAUUAAUAACGAAGCUUUAUGUUUUUGUGAUUAUGCUUUUUUAAUGUUUCAAUAUUGUCCGUUAUUUAAUCAAUCCAUAGGUAUUUGGAACACAAUUCAUUGACAGAGAUAAACAAUAAUACAUUCGCAGAUUUGGCAGGAAAUCUUCAUUCCUUGUGAGUAUAGUUAAUCGUAUGGUUUAAUUCUGAUAUAUUUAGAGGCUUUUAUUGCAGUACCACUUGGUGUGUUACCAUGCGUUUACAAAUAACAAUGCAAUUUGCUAUACAAAAUGUGACCAGAUUUAAGGUGCAUACGAAGUAUAUUAUUUGCGGUGUUCAUAUAACGAUAAGGUGAUGUGGAAUGUUUACCAAUGAUGCUUAUAUCACAAAAAUGUGACGCAGAUGCAAGUAUCAAUGAGGCAAUGUAUGGCCUCCGCCAAUUAGAAACAUCUAUCCCGUAAAGUUAACCUUAAAAGUCCCGACAUGAUAUAUGUACAUGUUCACAAACUCAAAUGGAAACGAUAAGCACUGAAAUAAAGACUGCUGACUUUGAACAGGUACAUACAGAUGCAGAAUGUAUGCCUAAAAUAUCUUUAAUUCCAAGAUCUUAAUCGGAACAAUCGACAACUGACAGUAUUAGGUCUUACUCAAAACAAUUAGUAAGAUAUUUUGUUGCAAUUGCCCUACCGUUGACAAAUUUUAAAUAUUAUACCAAAUUGGAUCGGUUAUGGCAUUUUGGAUUUUUUGUUUGUUUGAGGACUGCCCUCCAUGCAGUUAUCACAUCGAAACUGUCACAACCUUUGGAAAUUUAGAGUUGUGCAAGUUCACAUCGCAAAUAACUAUUUUUAUUUGUCAUAUCUUUGUAAUCUUUGCGCCGUGUUUGGACAUUUUAAAAUUGUACCAGCGUCUGUGGUGUCCGCUUAAAUUGUAUAAACGUUCAAGAUUUUUUUGAUAUUGUCUCAAUUUGAAUACAUUGACAUGAUUUAUUUUACAUCGCACUAUUACGAAGAAGGAUAUCUGUUAUCCGAAAUAUCUAAUAUCUGUUCAUUUUAUAGUUAUUUAAUCGUGAUGUGACCCUUUUCAACCUGUUAUUUAUAUACAUAUUUAUAUACAACUCGUUUAAAGAUUCGAACCCAUGCUACUGAGAUAUCGUGACACCUAAUCGCCUGCACUGUAGCCGUCCCGCUAGACCACACGACCACCUGGGCUUCACAAUAAUAAAGCUUUCAGUGGCCGUGUGUUACCUUUCCUCGUCAGUUUUAAUUUAGCGUCGUACUACAGUACAUGAUAUAUAAGGCAUGGAGAUGUUAUUGUUACAGAUCAUCUCAAUUAUCUAUAGUUAAGGAUCCUACAAAUUAAUGCAAGAUACAGUCACAGAAAAUAAUUAUAUUUAUAAGUACGUCUGAGUCAGUGACAACUCUACAACAGAUUUACCCAUCGGAUCACCAGCAAUGAUGGUGAUUCAUGGCUGUGUACAUUAGGUAUAUACAACUCGUCUAAACAUCAACCCAACAAUGUUAGAUCUGUAAAUUUGCUUUCGCAAAUAUUUUGUUCUUCCCUCGCCGGGAUUCGUACCCAUGCUACUGAGAUAUUGUGACACCUAAUCGCCUGCACUGUAGCCGUCCCGCUAGACCACACGACCACCUGGGCGUCACAAUAAUAAAGCUUUCAGUGGCCGUGUGUUACCUUUCCUCGUCAGUUUUAAUCUUGCGUCGUACUACAGUACAUGAUAUAUAAGGCAUGGAGAUGUUAUUGUUACACAUCAGCUCAAUUAUCUAUAGUUAAGGAUCCUACAAAGUAAUGCAAGAUACAGUCACAGAAAAUAAUUAUAUCUAUAAGUACGUCUGAGUCAGUGACAACUCUACAACAGAUUUAUCCAUCGGAUCACCACCAAUGAUGAUGGUGAUUCAUGGCUUUGUACAUUAUGUAUAUACAACUCGUCUCAACAUCAACUCAGCAAUGUUAGAUCUGUAAAUUUGCUUUCGCAAAUUUUUUGUUCUUUCCUCGCCGGCAUUCGUACCCAUGCUACUGAGAUAUCAUGACACCUAAUCGCCUGCCACUGUAGCCGUCCCGCUAGACCACACGACCACCUGGUCUUCACAGUAGUAAAGCUUUCAGUGGCCGUGUGUUAUCUUUCCUCGUCAGUUUGAAUCUAGCGUCGUACUACAGUACAUGAUAUAUAAGGCAUGGAGAUGUUAUUGGUACAGAUCAGCUCAAUUAUCUAUAGUUAAGGAUCCUACAUAUUAAUGCAAGAUACAGUAACAGAAAAUAAUUAUAUCUAUAAGUACGUCUGAGUCAGUGACAACUCUACAACAGAUUUAUCCAUCGGAUCACCAGUAAUGAUGGUGAUUCAUGGCUGUGUACAUUAGGUAUAUACAACUCGUCUAAACAUCAACCCAACAAUGUAAGAUCUGUAAAUUUGCUUUCGCAAAUUUUUUGUUCUUUCCUCGCCGGCAUUCGUACCCAUGCUACUGAGAUAUCAUGACACCUAAUCGCCUGCACUGUAGCCGUCCCGCUAGACCACACGACCACCUGGUCUUCACAGUAGUAAAGCUUUCAGUGGCCGUGUUUUACCUUUCCUCCUCAGUUUGAAUCUAGCGUCGUACUACAGUACAUGAUAUAUAAGGCAUGGAGAUGUUAUUGUUACAGAUCAGCUCAGUUAUCUAUAGUAAAGGAUCCUACAAAUUGAUGCAAGAUACAGUCACUGAAAAUAAUUAUACAUACAAGUACGUCUGAGUCAUUGACAACUUUACAACAGAUUAAUCCAUCAGAUCACCAGCAAUGAUAGUGAUUUAUGGCUGUGUACAUUAUGUAUAUACAACUCGUCUCAACAUCAACCCAACAAUGUUAGAUCUGUAAAUUGACUUUCGCAAAUUUUUUGUUCUUUCCUCGCCGGGAUUCGAACCCAUGCUACUGAGAUAUCGUGACACCUAAUCGCCUGCACUGUAGCCGUCCCGCUAGACCACACGACUACCUGGGCGUCACAAUAAUAAAGCUUUCAGUGGCCGUGUGUUACCUUUUCUUGUCAGUCAUAAUCUAGCGUCGUACUACAGUAUAUGAUAUAUAAGGCAUGGAGAUGUUAUUGUACAGAUCAGCUCAAUUAUCUAUAGUUAAGGAUCCUACAUAUUAAUGCAAGAUACAGUAACAGAAAAUAAUUAUAUCUAUAAGUACGUCUGAGUCAGUGACAACUUUACAACAGAUUUAUCCAUCGGAUCACCAGCAAUGAUGGUGAUUCAUGGCUGUGUACAUUAGGUAUAUACAACUCGUCUAAACAUCAACCCAACAAUGUAAGAUCUGUAAAUUUGCUUUCGCAAAUUUUUUGUUCUUCCCUCGCCGGGAUUCGACCCCAUGCUUCUGAGAUAUCGUGACACCUAAUCGCCUGCACUGUAGUCGUCCCGCUAGACCACACGACCACAUGGGCUUCACAAUAAUAAAGCUUUCAGUGGCCGUGUGUUACCUUUCCUUGUAAGUUUUAAUCUAGCGUCGCACUACAUGAACAACAAAAACACCAUUCUGUAUUAGAAGCCAAUCGAAGCAAAACGCUUGCAGAUUAUCGCCUAUUAAUUUCAUGUGUUUUAAUUAUAGGUAUUUAGAUGAAAACAUGAUCUAUGAUGCGUUGUUUAUUGAAUAUCUACCAACAACAUUGUCCACAUUGUAAGUUAUAGAGCUCUCUUUAUAUCUCCUGUCAUCAUGUUUAUUCACUACAUUUUACGCUAUAAUUGAUUACACGUAUUUGCGUUUAAAUGGUGAUACAAUAUAUUUGUACUAUAAUUGUAUACCAGAACAUGCAGAACACAUACAUACAUUUCGGAUCGAGUAGUUAAAUAAUGAACCAAACAUACCAUCAAAUGUAAUUUGAGGGUUGUCUUAUUGACAUUGACAACAAUAUACGGUAGUGUAUACAUUUGUCUUUUUUAAGAUAAUGUGACAGUUUUCUCUUGAUAUUCACUGCAAGAAAACGUAAGUUUUUUAUUCCGAAAGAUAGUUUUCAAUUUAAAAAGAAAUCUACCUUUUUUAAACUUUUUCGACUUUUCAUAUACAGUAAAAAAAAAUAUAUUGUCAUUUAUUUGUCAUCAGAAGCAUUAACAUUAAUCCUUGUACACGUCGCGAAAAAUUCUUUUCGGCAUUUUUUUUAUUCUUGUAAUUCUGUCAAGGGGUUACGUGGUAUGUCCAUACGAAGGUCAUUUUUGCAGAAUGUUUCUGUAAGUUUAAUUUUUCACAUUACGUUAUUUUUAAGAUGGGAUGUUUUAAUAAUGUGUUAUACGUGUAUUCAGUGUAUGGAGUAUCAUGUGUCUAAACGGCUCGAAUACACUACCUUUAUACGGAUAUGUCUUAUUUAGUAAAUGUAUCCUUGUGUAAGAUCAUUGUUUAAUUAUAUAAUACUCAUUCCAUUUACGUUGAUCACUGACCAAUAGUCAAUAGUGAUUAAUUUGCAAUGCAUGAUGUGCUACUAAAUGCUUCAAAUUACAGAGAACACGUUUGUUUUAAAAACACGUAAUCCAAUUUUUCACAGAUUGUAGGACAAACAUGUCAAGUUAUGUUUCUUGAUAUGUGAUUUGAUUUACAGAACAUGACAGAAAGUAUUUGUCGAGGACUUCGAAUUCCCAGUCUUACCACAUACGCUGAUCAUGAACACAAUAAAAUGGAGUUUGCUACGACUUUCAUACACGUUAGAUGUUUUUUUUUAAUUAGCUUUAUCUUUUUUAAAAUGCAUGACACUUGUUACCCUUUCGUUCGAUGUGUUUUGAUUUUGAUUUCGCCAUUUGAAAAGGGUCUCUGAGCAUUGAAUUUUUCUCGUAGUACAGUAUUUUGUGAUUCAUUGUUAAUAGUAAUGGUCUCCUUCAUUCUCAAGUUGAGUUUUAUUCUCAUACUAGUAUGGAUUAAAAAACAAAGAUUCAGCAAUUUGUUAACGAAACAGCAACCAAAAGAUGUAAUCGUUCAAAAGUAUGAUAACUUGCAUUUAGAUUCUAUCAAUAGUGGCUCCUGACCGUUUUUCCAGUGUGUAUCUUACUGUUAAAUAAUACUAGUAGUGGGAAGUUAAUGAUCGUUUUCGUAGUGUUAAAAAAUACCUAUAUAAAUCUUGUCAAUACUUUUUAAAUUGUUUUUUUAUACAUUUUUUUUUAAUCAGAUCACUGAAAAACAACUCUUUCGAUGACAUAGCGAAUGGAACAUUCCACAGAUUAAGUCAAUUACGGCAUUUGUAAGUACAUG